CGUUUCCCCGCACCUCCACCA
rnacentral:miRNA from 1 species